GGACCGCAUUCCCGUGGACGUUCGGCCGAAGGGGCGAGGCGCGACACGAAAAGCAUCUGUGGAGCUCAAGUUUGAGGUGAAAGCAGGCUCAGAGUCCACCUGUCCUCGCUGAUCCAUGGAUUUCUGUGUGACCAGGUCCCGGGCUGGACAGAGAGUGACUCUCCUGGGAGCCGUGCCAUGAGACCCAGGGCGUCACCCACCUAGGCUCCCUCACCCUGGA